CCGGCACGGGUGAGUAACACGUAUCCAACCUGCCGUCUACUCUUGGCCAGCCUUCUGAAAGGAAGAUUAAUCCAGGAUGGCAUCAUGAGUUCACAUGUCCGCAUGAUUAAAGGUAUUUUCCGGUAGACGAUGGGGAUGCGUUCCAUUAGAUAGUAGGCGGGGUAACGGCCCACCUAGUCAACGAUGGAUAGGGGUUCUGAGAGGAAGGUCCCCCACAUUGGAACUGAGACGCGGUCCAA
rnacentral:rRNA from 1 species